rnacentral:lncRNA from 1 species
AUGAAUUCUUCCACCUCCACCAUGAAUGAAGAGUCUGAUACUCUAUCGGUAGUUAACCAGUUAGGGGAUAUAGCAGCAGAUCCAUUAAACAGAAGAGCUGUAGUCCAGGAUCAGGGAUGUCUGCCUUGCCUUAUUUUAUUUAUGGACCACCCCAACCCUCCAGUCCAUUUGGCUUUGCUCGCUCUUUGAUACUUGGGAGAACACCGUGCAAACAGAGAAAAGAUGAAAGGAGAACUGGGUAUGAUGUUGAGCCUACAAAAUGUUAUACAGAAAACUGCAACUCUGGGAGAAACAAAACUUCUGGCCUCUGAAAUCUAUGACAUACUUCAGUCCUCCAAUAAGGCAGAUGGUGAUAGUUUCAAUGAAAUGAAUUCAUAUUGAAGGAAAGCUCAGUUUUUUCUGGGAACUGCAAACAAACGUGCCAAAACAGUGGUUUUGCAUAUAGACGGCCUUGAUGAUACGUCUUCGAGAAAUCUAUAUGAAGAGGCUUUGUUAAAAAUUAAAGGUGUUAUUAGCUUUACUUUUCAAAUGGCUGUUCAAAGGCUUGGUGUGAAUCCGUUCAGAUUUGAAAGCUGAGGCUUUCGCAUCAGCGAGAGCAUCAACCAAGGUUAUGAAAGCUCCGUAAGUUGUGAAAAGUGAAAGUGGAGAAGAGAUGCUGGUCCCAUUCCAAGACCUUCCUGUGGUAGAACAGAACACAGAGCUACCUGACUACCUGUCUGAAGAUGAGAGUCCCACAAAUGAACAGUACAAGGUGGUGUCCUGGGUCUUCAGCUCACACCCAGUGGGUGGAACUAGCUGGCUGAGCACAGCUGCAAACUUUUUAUCCAGAUCGUUUUAUUGGU